rnacentral:rRNA from 1 species
UCCUACGGGAGGGCCACAGUGGGGAAUUUUGGACAAUGGGGGAAACCCUGAUCCAGCAAUGCCGCGUGUGUGAAGAAGGCCUUCGGGUUGUAAAGCACUUUUGUCCGGAAAGAAAACCUCUGCCCUAAUACGGUGGAGGGAUGACGGUACCGGAAGAAUAAGCACCGGCUAACUACGUGCCAGCAGCCGCGGUAAUACGUAGGGUGCAAGCGUUAAUCGGAAUUACUGGGCGUAAAGCGUGCGCAGGCGGUUCGCUAAGACAGAUGUGAAAUCCCCGGGCUUAACCUGGGAACUGCAUUUGUGACUGGCGGGCUAGAGUAUGGCAGAGGGGGGUAGAAUUCCACGUGUAGCAGUGAAAUGCGUAGAGAUGUGGAGGAAUACCGAUGGCGAAGGCAGCCCCCUGGGCCAAUACUGACGCUCAUGCACGAAAGCGUGGGGAGCAAACAGGAUUAGAUACCCUGGUAGUCCACGCCCUAAACGAUGUCAACUAGUUGUCGGGUCUUCAUUGACUUGGUAACGUAGCUAACGCGUGAAGUUGACCGCCUGGGGAGUACGGUCGCAAGAUUAAAACUCAAAGGAAUUGACGGCGGGCGGGGGCGGCGGGACGGGCGCGGGC